ensembl:lncRNA
CUGAUGAUACUGGUGGUGGUAGUUGUGGAGAGGAAAGUACUGCUAGUGUGGCUGGGUUGGUGAUGGGGCUGUGCUGCUUCCAGAUCACUCCAGAUCAUAACAGGCUUCUGGAUCAUUUUCCCCACCUCCAUGAACUCCACACCCGGAAGGUCUGCCUGGAAAUGCUAGCCAUGUGCGAUGUGUGCGCAUGGACUCGGCAUUUCCAGAAGUCUUCUUUCAUGAAUGUCUUUACAAAGUGUGAUAAGAAAUAUAAUGAAGGGAAGGAAGCUCUCCUGCUGUCAUCCCAGGCUCCUAGGCCAGAGAAGGUGAGCCAGUCCCAGCACCCAGAAGGAAGCUCCCCCGCUGCCAUCCCAAG